AGAUUGAACGCCGGCGGCAUGCCUAACACAUGCAAGUCGAACGGGAGUAGCAAUACUCUAGUGGCGGACGGGUGAGGAAUACGUAGGAAUUUGCCCUUAAGUGGGGGAUAACCCGGGGAAACCCGGAUUAAUACCGCAUGACCUCGAAAGAGCAAAGUGGGGGAUCGCAAGACCUCACGCUUUUGGAGAAGCCUACGUCGGAUUAGCUAGUUGGUGAGGUAAUGGCUCACCAAGGCGACGAUCCGUAACUGGUCUGAGAGGAUGAUCAGUCACACCGGAACUGAGACACGGUCCGGACUCCUACGGGAGGCAGCAGUGGGGAAUAUUGGACAAUGGGCGCAAGCCUGAUCCAGCAAUGCCGCGUGUGUGAAGAAGGCCUCGGUUGUAAGUA
rnacentral:rRNA from 1 species